UUGCCUGCUCACUGGAGGGGCAGGGGAAGAAGCAGAAGCAACAGCCAUUUGAGGGUUGACUGGCUCUAAGGAAAAGCUGUUUGCUGGCAGACACAGGUGGCUGGUGACAAAGGGAACAGAGCAGGGGAAUGGAUAGCUCAAAACGAGCCUCGCCACUCCUGAACAGAACAGCAAUCCCAGCUGUGUCCUUUCGAGGGUGAGUGAAAGCACAUGCUGUCCUUUACAUGCUUGAGGCGGACUUGCCUGUCUCUUCAGGCCGGAUGCUCUUCAGGGCCCUGUGGGGCUUAAACACAUGUACUGAGCUAGCUCCAAUCUUAAUCUGCACAACAUCGCAA
rnacentral:lncRNA from 10 species